rnacentral:tRNA from 1 species
GUCGAGAUGACCGAGUUGGUUAAGGUGCCAGACUCAAGAUUUCUUGCACUUCAAAAAGUGUGUGUUCUGGUGGGGCAACCCGCGCGAGUUCGAAUCUCGUUCUCGACA